rnacentral:rRNA from 1 species
CGGUUGAUCCUGCCGGAGGCUACCGCUAUUGGAGUUCGAUUAAGCCAUGCGAGUCGCGAGAAAUUAGAUUCUCGGCGUACCGCUCAGUAACACGUGGGUAACCUGCCCUAUGCUGGAUAAUAACCUCGGGAAACUGAGAAUAAUGAUCCAUAGUUCACUACGCCUGGAACGGUGAGUGGAUGAAAGCUCCGGCGGCAUAGGAUGGGCCUGCGGCGUAUCAGGUUGUAGGGGGUGUAACGUACCCUCUAGCCCUCUACGCGUACGGGUGUUGGGAGACAUAGCCCGGAGAUGGAUUCUGAGACACGAAUCCAGACCCUACGGGGUGCAGCAGGCGCGAAAACUUGGCAAUGCGAGAAAUCGUGACCAGGGAACUCCAAGUGCAUCGGGUAAGACCGGUGCUUUUCUUGACUCUAAAUAGGUCUUGGAAUAAGGGGUGGGUAAGGACGGUGCCAGCCGCCGCGGUAAUACCGGCGCCUCAAGUGGUAGUCGCUUUUAUUGGGCCUAAAACGUCCGUAGCCGGUCUGAUACAUUCGUGGGUAAAUCAACCAGCUUAACUGGUUGAAUUCUGCGAGGACGGUCAGACUUGGGACCGGGAGAGGUGUGGGGUACGCUCAGGGUAGGGGUAAAAUCCUGUCAUCCUGAGCGGACCACCUGUUGCGAAGGCGCCACACUAGAACGGAUCCGACGGUCAGGGACGAAGCCUAGGGGCACGAACCGGAUUAGAUACCCGGGUAGUCCUAGGUGUAAACGCUGUGGACUUGAUGUUGGGGGUGCUCCGAGCACUCUCAGUGUCGAAGCGAAGGUGAUAAGUCCACUGCCUGGGAAGUACGGUCGCAAGGCUGAAACUUAAAGGAAUUGGCGGGGGAGCACCGCAACCUGAGGAUUGUGCGGUUUAAUUGGAGUCAACGCCAGAAAUCUUACCCGGAGAGACAGCAGGAUGAAGGUCAAGCUGAAGACUUUACCAGACAAGCUGAGAGGUGGUGCAUGGCCGUCGCCAGCUCGUGCCGUGAGAUGUCCUGUUAAGUCAGGUAACGAGCGAGAUCCCUGCCUCUAGUUGCCACCAUUACUCUCAGGAGUAGUGGGGCGAAUUAGCGGGACCGCCGCAGUUAAUGCGGAGGAAGGAAGGGGCCACGGCAGGUCAGUAUGCCCCGAAACUCUGGGGCCACACGCGGGCUGCAAUGGUAAUGACAAUGGGUUCCGAAUCCGAAAGGAGGAGGUAAUCCUCAAACAUUACCACAGUUAUGACUGAGGGCUGCAACUCGCCCUCACGAAUAUGGAAUCCCUAGUAACUGCGUGUCAUUAUCGCGCGGUGAAUACGUCCCUGCUCCUUGCACUCACCGCCCGUC